rnacentral:rRNA from 1 species
UACGGGGGGGUAAGCGUUGUUCGGAAUUACUGGGCGUAAAGGGCUCGUAGGCGGCCAACUAAGUCAUACGUGAAAUCCCUCAGCUUAACUGGGGAACUGCGUGUGAUACUGGAUGGCUUGGAUUUGGGAGAGGGAUGCGGAAUUCCAGGUGUAGCGGUGAAAUGCGUAGAUAUCGGGAGGAACACCAGUGGCGAAGGCGACUACCUGGCCUGUUCUUGACGCUGAGGCGCGAAAGCUAGGGGAGCAAACGGGG